AUUGAACGCUGGCGGCAGGCCUAACACAUGCAAGUCGAGCGAGCGGCGGACGGGUGAGUAAUGCUUGGGAAUCUAGCUUAUGGAGGGGGAUAACUACGGGAAACUGUAGCUAAUACCGCAUACUAUCGGAUGAACCCAUAUGGGAUUAGCUAGUAGGUGGGGUAAAGGCUCACCUAGGCGACGAUCUCUAGCUGGUCUGAGAGGAUGAUCAGCCACACUGGGACUGAGACACGGCCCAGACUCCUACGGGAGGCAGCAGUGGGGAAUAUUGCACAAUGGGCGCAAGCCUGAUGCAGCCAUGCCGCGUGUAUGAAGAAGGCCUUCGGGUUGUAAAGUUCUUUCGGUAGCGAGGCGUUAACUACAGAAGAAGCACCGGCUAACUCCGUGCCAGCAGCCGCGGUAAUAC
rnacentral:rRNA from 1 species